UGUGUACUGAAAACCUGCCAAAAUAUCAAAUUUAUUCUCGGAUAAGACUAAUUUUUCGUUGGUGAAUUGGACUUUAAGUAAUUAAAAGCUGCUC